AUUGAACGCUGGCGGCAGGCCUAACACAUGCAAGUCGAGCGGAUGAAGGGAGCUUGCUCCUGGAUUCAGCGGCGGACGGGUGAGUAAUGCCUAGGAAUCUGCCUGGUAGUGGGGGAUAACGUCCGGAAACGGGCGCUAAUACCGCAUACGUCCUGAGGGAGAAAGUGGGGGAUCUUCGGACCUCACGCUAUCAGAUGAGCCUAGGUCGGAUUAGCUAGUUGGUGGGGUAAAGGCCUACCAAGGCGACGAUCCGUAACUGGUCUGAGAGGAUGAUCAGUCACACAGGAACUGUGACACGGUCCAGACUCCUACGGGAGGCAGCAGUGGGGAAUAUUGGACAAUGGGCGAAAGCCUGAUCCAGCCAUGCCGCGUGUGUGAAGAAGGUCUUCGGAUUGUAAAGCACUUUAAGUUGGGAGGAAGGGCAGUAAGUUAAUACCUUGCUGUUUUGACGUUACCAACAGAAUAAGCACCGGCUAACUUCGUG
rnacentral:rRNA from 1 species